rnacentral:rRNA from 1 species
UACGUAGGGGGCAAGCGUUGUCCGGAUUUACUGGGCGUAAAGAGCGUGUAGGCGGCCACGCAGGUCCGUUGUGAAAACUGGAGGCUCAACCUCCAGCUGUCGACGGAAACCGUAUGGCUAGAGUCCGGAAGAGGAGAGUGGAAUUCCUGGUGUAGCGGUGAAAUGCGCAGAUAUCAGGAGGAACACCAAUGGCGAAGGCAGCUCUCUGGGACGGUACUGACGCUGAGACGCGAAAGCGUGGGGAGCGAACAGG